AUGGGCACUUCCAGGCUCAGCGAUGUGGUUGGAGAUGGGGAUGGAGGAUUCCCCAGAGGGUGUCUGGUAAGAAGGGGUUCCUACAGCCUGCAACUGCCUCUCCAGGCCAAAUUGGCUCCCGUGGUAAAAGGGAAAGGGUUCCACCUUCCCACACAUUGGUCAAUUUGCAUUGGCAGAGCUAGCCCAAAGCCCACAUUAAAGGACAGGCCUUGGGGUUCCAACUGCCUUGGGAUGAUGGAGAAGUGGAACUCUGAAACAGGGAAGCUGCCUUGGGUCCUGGGCAUGUGGUUUUGUGGAGUUAGGCUUGCACGGUGUUUGGCCUCUGGAGAGCCUAGCUGGUGGUGGUCAGUGGAGACUGUUAAAGCAGAGGUCCUUUGGAGGGCAGGCUAGGUCCACUCCAGGGACCAGUCUCUUGAGGGCUUCUCUGAAAAGUUCUGUGUUUUCCUUUCCUCUGAGCCUCUCCCUCCUUUUGUGCACCCCUGAGGGAAAAUCUUACCUUAAAGCCAAGUCACAUAAAAUGAGGCCUGGCAAAGUGGGAUGAGUGGUGUGUGGGGGAAUCUAAAGCCUGUUCCCUGACCUGAAGUGUGUUUAGCUGAUGGGCUCACAGGAGUGCUGACAAAUAGGGAGCGUGCUGGGAUAUGGGAGAUAUUGAGAGAGAAAUAGCACUCUCCGUAAGGUCUUUGAUUUUCAUGACAGAGAGAGAAAGAGUGCGAGACAGAGACAGGAGAGGACCAGAUCAGGCUCACAGGUACUCAAGAGCAGUGCAAACAGAACCGGGAGGGGUCAGGAGGCAGAAGACUGGGAUCUGAAGGGCUGGUGUAGGUAAUGGCCACUAGAGGACAGGGAGCCCUGCCAUGUCCAUCUGCUGCCUGGUGUUGGCACAUCCACACUCAGAGAUGGGGUUGCCAGUGGUGCUGGUGGAACCCCAAGGAAGUGGCCAGAGAUGGAAGGUGAGUUAUGGGCUUCUUCUGGCUCUGGGGUUGACAGUGCAUCUCCUGAUAGUGGGUACAGAGCUCUUCCUUCAUGGUUAGGGGUUGUUUCCUACUGCUCACAGAGCCCUAAGUCCCAAUGAUGUGACCAGCUAUCCGUGGUCUUAAUGCCUUUGGAUUCUCUGAUGGAAUAGCCAUGAAUCAAAAAGUAUUUGGUUUGAAUCUUGAGCAUGCAGUUCUUGAGAGCCAGGAUUUUGUCCGAUGUGGCAUCUGGAACGCAGUGCUCGUGGACCUGAUUGGAGGGUGUAGAAGGGGGUUUGUGGCUGGCCAGGCUGUUCUCAUCCCUGGGAUCUAUCUCUGAAGUUUCUCCACAGAGUUCCUUUUACAUUUUUUUGCCCUAAGCCAAUUUUCUCUGGCAGUUACCCUGGAAAAUUGAACAGUAGCCGAAAUGAAUAUUAAGGCAGGCAGAUGAAUUUCCAGCUUGCCUGACUUGAAGUCUGAUUGGCAGAUGGAGGUGAAUGACUGGAGUAGAACACGGAGGAAGUAGUGGGCUGGGGGAUGUUGAGAGAGACACCUCGCCCUCUUGUAAGAUACACGGUGCUGCUUAGUGGGGAAAUAGUGGGAGUAGUAGAGAAAUCAGCUGUCAGGUGCCCAAACCAAGGGCAGUCCAGCCAUGGGUUUGGUCAGGAGGCUGGAGCAAGGACUCUGAGUCGUCAUAGAGAGCACGGCCACCAGAGGGCACCAGAGCAGUGGCAGAGCCCAGCAGCUGCUUGGCAUUGGCAUUUCCCAGCCCAGAGAUGGGGUUGGAGUUGGUCAGGCAGGGGGUGUUGGUAAUGGUGGAGGUGGUGGAUUGUUGCCUGGGAUGAACCUUGAGAGGAGGGCUAUUUUAUUGGUCACCUCUGCCUGUCCAAUCUAAAUGACCUCACCUAACGGGAAGGACACUUUUCUGCCUUCACAUCUGUGUGUCGCUUUCAGACAGCUUGUGUAGCCCAAAGUCCGCAUAGUGGGGCAGGCUGUCAUGAGCUCAGACAGCCUCUGGAUUCUGCAGAGGCAGACAAGUGAACAGAAGUGGAGUCAGCUUGAAUAUUGGGCAGGCAGUGUUCUAGGAUCAGACUUGCAUGGGGUUUGGGGUUCAGAAAGCCGGGCUGCUGUUGGUCAUGCAUGGAGAGUGUAAAAGCAGAGGUUCCCUCCUGGGAAGGCUGCAACCAACUCACAGACUGGUCUCUCUGAAAAGUUUCUUCUUCUCCUUUCAUUUGUGCCUCUCCCUCCUCUCGUUCACCCCUGAAAGGGAAAAUCUGACCUCAAGCCAGGUCACAGAAAUUAGGAAGGGAGGCUGAUUACUUUCAAAAUGGUGACCCGUUUCAUAGAGGGCUCAGCUCACUGACUAAUGAGAACAGUGAAGGAUUGGGAGGAGUGAGUGCCAUGACUGGCACUGAGGGGAAGAAAAAACUGCCCUCUUAAAGGUGCUUGGUUGUUCUUAGAGUGAGAGGAGGAACUAAAUCUGCUCUCUGAUGCACAGGUCCAGGGCCCUCCAUGGGUUUUUCCAGAGGAAGGAGGGGGAGGGAGGAGGGAGGAGACAGGGCUCUGAGUUGUCAUUAGAGAGAAUGCCCGCCAGAGGGCGCAAAAACUCACCCAAGCUCAGCAGCUGCUUGGUAUGGGCACUUCUAGGCUCAGAGAGGUGGCUGGAGAUGGGGAUAGUGGAUUCCCCAGAGGGUGUCCAGCAAGAAGGGGUUCCUACAUCCCACAAUUGCCUCUCCAGGCCCAACUGGCUGCCAUGGUUAAAGGGAAAUUGUUCCACCUUCCCACACCUGGGUAACUUUAGGGCAUCACAGUUAGCCCAAGGCCCACAUUAAAGGACAGGCCUUGGGGUUCCAACUGCCUUGGGAUUAUAGAGGAGUGGAACUCUGAAACUGGGCUGUUGCCUUGGGUCCUGGGCAUGUGGUUUUGCAGAGGUAGGCUUGUACGGUGUUUGGCCUCUGGAGGACAGGCUGGGUCCACUCCAGGGACCAGUCUCUUGAGGAGUCUCUGAAAAGUUCUGCAUCUUCCUUUCACCUGAGCCUCUCCCUGAUUUUGUGCACGUCUGAGGGGAAAAAACUUACCUUCAAGCCAGGAAACAUAAAAUGAGGCUUGGCAAUGCAUGAUGGAUGGGGUGUGGGGGAAUCUAAAGCCUGUUCCCUGACCUGAAGUGUGUUCAGCUGAUGGGCUCACAGGAGUGCUGACAGAUAGGGAGCAUGCUGGGAUAUGGGAGCUAUUGAGCGAGAGAUAGCGCCUCUGUAAGGCCCUGGAUUUUUCUGAGAGAGGGAGAAAGAGUGCGAGACAGAGACAGAAGAGAAUCAGAUCAGGCUCACAGGUGCUCAAGAGCAGUGCAAACAGAACUGGGAGGGGUCAGGAGGCAGAAGAAUGGGAUCUGAAGGGCAAUGGCUAUUAGAGGAUGAGGAGCCCAGUUGUGUCCAUCUGCUGCCUGGUGUUGGCACAUCCACACUCAGAGAUGGGGUUGCCAGUGGUGCUGGUGGAACCCUAAGGAAGUGGCCAGAGAUGAAAGGUGAGUUAUGGGCUUCUUCUGGCUCUGGGGUCGACAGUGCAUCUCCUGAUAGUGGGUACAGAGCUCUUCCUUCAUGGCUAUGGGUGGGGUGCAGAGAAAUUGAAUGUAUUUGGGAUGGAGUAAGUUGAGCUUAGUUCUCUGGGAGACUUUGCAAGAGAAGUAGCCCAGUCUGGGUUAUUUCAUUGAGCUAAUAGUGUAUGAGAAGGAAAUCAAGGAGUUCCCAUCAUGGCUCAGUGGUUAAUGAAUCUGACUAAGACCCAUGAGGUUACGGGUUUGAUCCCUGGCCGUGCUCAGUGGGUUAAGGUUCUGGCAUUGCCAUGAACUGUGGUGUAGGUUGCAGAUGCGGUUCGGAUCCUGCGUUACUCUGUGCAGGCUGGCACUUACAGCUCCGAUGGGACCCCUAGCCUGGGAACCUCCAUAUGCCGCGGGAGCGGCCCUAGAAAAGGCAAAAAGACAAAAAAAAAAAAAAAAAAAAAAAAAAAACAAAGAAAAAAAGAAAAAAGAAGGAAGUCAAGCUGGCAGGUACCCAAGGCCAGUGCUGCCUUGAGGGCGACUGAGGGAACUGGAGGAAGAGCUGAGAUUUGGUGUUGGAGGGGAUGGCCACCAGAUGGCGCCAGAGAACAGGCAAAGCCCACCUGCAGCCCCUGGCUUCAACUUCAGUCUCAGAGUUGGGGCUGGAGAUAAGUUCGGCAGAACUCCAUGGAUGAGCCCAGAGAUGAGGGGUUGGUUGCUCUGGGUCUUUGUCUCUCCAUCCCAAAUUGCCUUACCUCAUAGGGGGCACAGGUGUCACUUCAAAAUGUCCUGGGGCACUUCCAGUCUGGUUGGGGGCCCAGUGGUUAGAGUACUUGACAGGUUUCUGGGGUCUGAUUUCCCUUAGUUCCUACAGAGGCAGGACUCUGGACAAGAAACUUGUGUCUUGAAUCUUGGGCUUGCAAUUUUCAAGCCUCUGCACUGCAGAGGAUUGUCGUGUGGAAAAGUGGGCUGGUGGCUGGGAAUGGAGCAGGUAAGAGGGGAGAUGCUUUGGCAGGCUGAUUUGCUAAUCUCUGCGCUUUUCUUUCAAACAGUCUCACCAAAACGCCUUCCCUCUCUAUCUCAGCCUCUUUUCCCAGUUUCCUACCCGUGUUUCAGGAAGCAAGCCUAGGGCAUUUCUCAUGAGUUAAGACAAGGUAAUUGAUUUAAAGAAGACUCUCAAGACCCAGUGGGUAGGGAG
rnacentral:lncRNA from 9 species